AAACCGGCAAACGGAGGACGGACGCCGUCCCAAGGAGUGUAUUGGUAACUGGGGUG
rnacentral:rRNA from 1 species